CAAGUAAUUGCUAUACUCUGUGGUAUUGUAAUUGGAUGACGUGACCGUUUGACAAUACAAUUAUGUCUCGACGCAAUAUUUUUUGCAAUGUCUCUUACCUUUGAAAACGAUCCCUACAUGAACAAUUUUACAGUAAUAAAAAUAUACCUAUAAAACAACUAAUUAUAUUUUUAAUUAUUUACUAUUUAUCAUUGUCACGAAGUCAACCUUCAGAAUAUAAUGAAGAAAAAUUGAUUUUAUAACAAGGAAAAUGAAACUGAACGAACGAUAAUAUUUAUGUAACUUAUUUUUUACUAUCUCACGUACCUACUAUGUAUAUUAGAUUGUAUUGACUUUUUACUUUACUUCACUAAUACCUUCAUUACUAGCUUUAAAUCUA